rnacentral:miRNA from 1 species
GAGAGAAGAUGAGAGCGGAGGAGGGAGGAAGAAGUAACAAAAAUGAAAACAAAACUAAAAACGGAAAUCUAUUUGAAAUUGUUUUCACUUUUACUACUCUUCCCCCAUCCCAAGGCCCUCCAUUCGGU